rnacentral:tRNA from 1 species
AUCUUUGUAGUUGAACCCACAACAGGAGCCCUUCACACUUCAAGUCUGAGUAACCAAACCCAGCAAAGAUU